rnacentral:snRNA from 1 species
AUCUCGUGAGUUAGUAACUAU